AAUUCGCCCUUAGAGUUUGAUCCUGGCUCAGGAUGAACGCUGGCGGCGUGCCUAAUACAUGUAAGUCGAGCGAGGCCCUUCGGGGCCUAGCGGCGGACGGGUGAGUAACACGUGGGUAACCUGCCUGUAAGACCGGGAUAACUUCGGGAACCGAAGCUAAUACCGGAUAAUUUCGAGCAUCGCAUGAUGCUUGAUGGAAAGACGGUUUCGGCUGUCACUUACAGAUGGACCCGCGUCGCAUUAGCUAGUUGGUGAGGUAACGGCUCACCAAGGCGACGAUGCGUAGCCGACCUGAGAGGGUGAUCGGCCACACUGGGACUGAGACACGGCCCAGACUCCUACGGGAGGCAGCAGUAGGGAAUCUUCGGCAAUGGGCGAAAGCCUGACCGAGCAACGCCGCGUGAGCGAUGAAGGCCUUCGGGUCGUAAAGCUCUGUUGUUAAGGAAGAACAAGUACGAGAGUAACUGCUCGUACCUUGACGGUACUUAACGAGAAAGCCACGGCUAACUACGUGCCAGCAGCCGCGGUAAUACGUAGGUGGCGAGCGUUAUCCGGAAUUAUUGGGCGUAAAGCGCGCGCAGGCGGUUUCUUAAGUCUGAUGUGAAAGCCCACGGCUCAACCGUGGAGGGUCAUUGGAAACUGGGAAACUUGAGUGCAGAGAAGAAAGCGGAAUUCCACGUGUAGCGGUGAAUGCGUAA
rnacentral:rRNA from 1 species